rnacentral:rRNA from 1 species
UUGAAGAGUUUGAUCAUGGCUCAGAUUGAACGCUGGCGGCAGGCCUAACACAUGCAAGUCGAACGGUAACAGGAAUCAGCUUGCUGAUUCGCUGACGAGUGGCGGACGGGUGAGUAAUGUCUGGGAAACUGCCUGAUGGAGGGGGAUAACUACUGGAAACGGUAGCUAAUACCGCAUAACGUCGCAAGACCAAAGAGGGGGACCUUCGGGCCUCUUGCCAUCGGAUGUGCCCAGAUGGGAUUAGCUAGUAGGUGGGGUAAAGGCUCACCUAGGCGACGAUCCCUAGCUGGUCUGAGAGGAUGACCAGCCACACUGGAACUGAGACACGGUCCAGACUCCUACGGGAGGCAGCAGUGGGGAAUAUUGCACAAUGGGCGCAAGCCUGAUGCAGCCAUGCCGCGUGUAUGAAGAAGGCCUUCGGGUUGUAAAGUACUUUCAGCGGGGAGGAAGGGAGUAAAGUUAAUACCUUUGCUCAUUGACGUUACCCGCAGAAGAAGCACCGGCUAACUCCGUGCCAGCAGCCGCGGUAAUACGGAGGGUGCAAGCGUUAAUCGGAAUUACUGGGCGUAAAGCGCACGCAGGCGGUUUGUUAAGUCAGAUGUGAAAUCCCCGGGCUCAACCUGGGAACUGCAUCUGAUACUGGCAAGCUUGAGUCUCGUAGAGGGGGGUAGAAUUCCAGGUGUAGCGGUGAAAUGCGUAGAGAUCUGGAGGAAUACCGGUGGCGAAGGCGGCCCCCUGGACGAAGACUGACGCUCAGGUGCGAAAGCGUGGGGAGCAAACAGGAUUAGAUACCCUGGUAGUCCACGCCGUAAACGAUGUCGACUUGGAGGUUGUGCCCUUGAGGCGUGGCUUCCGGAGCUAACGCGUUAAGUCGACCGCACGGGAGUACGGCCGCAAGGUUAAAACUCAAAUGAAUUGACGGGGCCCGCACAAGCGGUGGAGCAUGUGGUUUAAUUCGAUGCAACGCGAAGAACCUUACCGUCUUGACAUCCACAGAACUUUCCAGAGAUGGAUUGGUGCCUUCGGGAACUGUGAGACAGGUGCUGCAUGGCUGUCGUCAGCUCGUGUUGUGAAAUGUUGGGUUAAGUCCCGCAACGAGCGCAACCCUUAUCCUUUGUUGCCAGCGGUCCGGCCGGGAACUCAAAGGAGACUGCCAGUGAUAAACUGGAGGAAGGUGGGGAUGACGUCAAGUCAUCAUGGCCCUUCCGACCAGGGCUACACACGUGCUACAAUGGCGCAUACAAAGAGAAGCGACCUCGCGAGAGCAAGCGGACCUCAUAAAGUGCGUCGUAGUCCGGAUUGGAGUCUGCAACUCGACUCCAUGAAGUCGGAAUCGCUAGUAAUCGUGGAUCAGAAUGCCACGGUGAAUACGUUCCCGGGCCUUGUACACACCGCCCGUCACACCAUGGGAGUGGGUUGCAAAAGAAGUAGGUAGCUUAACCUUCGGGAGGGCGCUUACCACUUUGUGAUUCAUGACUGGGGUGAAGUCGUAACAAGGUAACCGUAGGGGAACCUGCGGUUGGAUCACCUCCUU